GCUAUCCUCCAAUUGGAAAUCCGGGUAAGCUUUCCCACCUUAUUCUCUUCUAUAAGCUUUCUUUUUAUUCAAUUUGAUCAACUGAAAUGGGGAGCCCUUUUCCUCUAUUGAUUCUCUCAACUCUACUAAUAAUAGAUGCUAAAGAGCUUUUCUAUUUGGGGGUCACUUUACACGUUGCUUAGGCUCAUUUCUUUUCGCUUCUGACAUAUUUUUAUGAUAGACAUUCAGAUUUAAUAGAUGCAGACAUAUGCAUACUUGCAUAUGGGUAGGUUUCCCCUGUUAAUGAUCGUUGUUUCUUUUUCAAUACUUGAAAUAGACUGUUAAGAAGAUGAUAAAGAG
rnacentral:misc_RNA from 1 species